rnacentral:rRNA from 1 species
UACGUAGGCAGCAAGCGUUGUUCGGAGUUACUGGGCGUAAAGAGUGCGUAGGCGGUUGGCCAAGUCUGCUGUGAAAUCUCCCGGCUUAACUGGGAGGGUGCGGUGGAAACUGGCUGGCUUGAGGGUGGGAGAGGUAAGCGGAAUUCCUGGUGUAGCGGUGAAAUGCGUAGAUAUCGGGAGGAACACCGGUGGCGAAAGCGG